UUGAGUAACAUUGUGGUCGAGUUUACGAAACUCACAACAAGUGAAAUCACUCUAAGAGUUGCUAGCAUGGCAGCAGUUUGCAGCCAGUCUAUCCUUCAGUGAAUUAGAGUGAAGUGACUGAUUAAAACUUGUGUUGGUUUCUCAUUCUCCCAGAGGUUAAACAUCACCAACAACUUUAUGUAUAAUAUUUUCAACGGAUCCUACCACAAGUGAGAUUGAGUAUGGCUGGACGUUGUCCAAGCAGUCGAGGCGAGUCUUGAAAACCACCAACUGUUAAUGUUAGUGUGCAUGCUUAGUUAAAAUACGCAAUAUUCACAAGGCUAUUUUUUAUAGUCGUAAAUAAAAUGUCAAUACAUAGCAUGAAUGCAACAUGAGGCAUAUUUUUACCUGGUAAUAAUUUCGUUAAAUUAACGUUCAAUAGGGGUAAUAGUUUCAAAGCUUGCGUGUUCAGUUAUAUAUAAUUAUUGUUAUUUUAUGCUGACGUCGGAAGUUUUCCCAGCUUAACACUGGGUUUAUUAUGAUGAGAAUUCUUGUGAAAAACUGGGUAAAAAUUACAUCAUUAUGCAGCUGUAUAUUUUUUAAUCAAUAAUAAAGGAUUAAAUUAUUUAUUUGCACGUC